rnacentral:rRNA from 1 species
UGCAAGUCGAGGGGUAUAUGGGGCUUGCUCCAUAGAGACCGGCAAACGGGUGCGGAACACGUACACAACCUACCCUUAUCUUGGGGAUAGCCUUUCGAAAGGAAGAUUAAUACCCAAUAGUAUAUUAGAGUGGCAUCACUUAAAUAUUAAAGAACUUCGGAUAAGGAUGGGUGUGCGUAAGAUUAGAUAGUUGGUGAGGUAACGGCUCACCAAGUCAACGAUCUUUAGCUGAUGUGAGAGCAUGAUCAGCCACACGGGCACUGAGACACGGGCCCGACUCCUACGGGAGGCAGCAGUGAGGAAUAUUGGGCAAUGGACGGAAGUCUGACCCAGCCAUGCCGCGUGAAGGAUGAAGGCGUUCUGCGUUGUAAACUUCUUUUACCUGGGAAGAAACCACAGAUUUCUAUUUGUGUUGACGGUACCAGGGGAAUAAGCACCGGCUAACUCCGUGCCAGCAGCCGCGGUAAUACGGAGGGUGCAAGCGUUAUCCGGAUUUACUGGGUUUAAAGGGUGUGUAGGCGGGCUAUUAAGUCUGGGGUGAAAUC